rnacentral:lncRNA from 1 species
AGACCAUUUGUGUGAGCGAGUCCCUUUUAAAUGUCUCUCGGUAGAAAAACUGAAAGUAGAAAGAAAGGAAGCAAUUUCCGAGCAGAUGUCUGACCACCCCUACUCGCAUACUCCCAGCAUCGGGUUACAGGGUCCUGGGAGCCCCAACCCGGUUCUGCUGCCCCACAUGGGUGAACCCCUGGUGCAUUCACGCCAGCUUCUGAACUCCCCCAGGACGCCCCGUUCCCCGCACGUCCAGGCCCCCGGAGUCAGAGAGGGCAGCUGAGAACAACGGUAUAGGUAUAAAUAUUGAGCCGUGACAUUGACGCGCCCGCCGCUUCCCCUCCCCCGCGCUCCCGGCACACUCUGGGUUGCUCGGCACGCCCCCUCUCGUCCCGCUGCCUCCCGCGCGGCGCUCAUCCCCGAGGGGCCGGAGCAACCUCUCCUCGCGAAGACUGCACGAGCCCUGCUGGGGAAGAAAAAGUGCAGAGAUUGUGGGCAGACUAUGUAAUCGCUGCGGAGGGGGAAGAGGAGGGAUCGGCGCUCUCCUGCGGCCGC